UUGAUGUUCUAAUCUGAUGCUAUUAUUACUACCUAUACAUCUUCAACCUUUGCAUAUUUCACGUCUUUACAAUAUAUUAACAAUCUAAUAUUUACAUGUGAAUUAUUGUUAAUAAAAAUGAUUGAAAAUAGCAUUAUUAAAUUAAAUAGUGUAACUUGCUCGCAGAGGGGAAGGGAAGAAUACUGUUCAAAAUGAACAGUAAAACUACUGUUUACACCUUCUUUUGCAAUCUGCUUCUUCGCGUUACUUUGGAUGGCUUCUUCUCAUUCCUCUUCUUUCCUCUUUCCUCUCCCUUUUCUAUGACCAUUUUUUCCGUUCCGAAUAUGUGCUCAAUUCAGUGAAUUAAGCUUAAUCAAUUUAUGUUCUGCGCUUUCUUCUUCUAGAAACUUCGAAUCUUUCCUCUCAUUCUUAGAACUUUUUAUUUUCUUAUUUUCAUGCUUUCCUUUUUAGUAAUUUCUUAAUCAAGCUUUAAUCUUUCCUUAAUUUUAAUUAGUAUCUUUAUGUAGUUUAAAGUUUGUGGUUUUAUUCUUUAUUGUCUUCCAUUGUUAAGGUAUUCUUGCUUCUGAAUCUCUUUAAUUCUGUUUAUUGUUGUUAGUUUUGUUUAUUUGUUGAAUUUACUUGUCCCUAUGCAUUCCAUUAGUGAGUAGUCUUCUCACUAAGGUAGAGGGAUGAAGCCUACCAAAAACAUGAUUGGAUUGAUGGAUAAAGGUAUUAUUUUUGUUUGUUAGAUGGACAAAAGAAGUACUUUGCUUGGAGUGAUUAUACUGAUCAAAUUGUAUGGAUAUUGUUUUUAAUUUGUCAACUGCUAGAACUUUGUUUUUAUUGAUCAUGAUUUGUGUUGCCCAAUCUAAAGGUUGAUUUUCUUAUUUUCAUAAUUUUAAUUUUUCCCAAAAUAUCAAAAAAUUUGUUGUUUUUAAGUUUUUAGUGAUUGUUUUUUUAUGAUGUUGUUUGCUAUAUGUGUUAAAUUUGAGAUUUUUAUAGUUGUUACAAUGUAAGUUUCAAUUUUUUGGUUUUAAAUUGUGGGUUUUUGAUAUUUUUGGGUUUAUUUUGGUUUAUACUUUUGAUUUUUACGGAUCAAAUGUCCUAUUCUACUAAAAGACAUUGCGCAAGGAGAAUUAGUAAUUAAAAAAUGUGUUAUUAAAGUAUGUUGAGUUUUAUAUAUCAUCUAUGUGAAGUUGCAUGUGAUGUUUUACCAAUUGUUUUCAAGUUUUGAUUGUUUUUGCUAACAACGCUAAGGUUGAGUGCAUAUCCAGGUCAAGUGAAAGCCUCUCAGUGUCAUUGGGUAUUAAAAUGUUAGUAUUUUAUAUAUUAUAAUGCUAUUUAGUUUGUUUAUUGUUUGUCAUUGAUGUUUGUCAAGCGAAACUGAAACGAAUCGUUUCUUCAAACCAGAUCAAAAUCAUUAAUUAUGAUGCCUAUGUGUGUAAAUGUCUAUGUGGGCAACUGAUGCCUCGCUGAAUGCUGGCGUCCCUUCUACCUGAAAAUAACUUAAACCCUAGAUUUUAUCUCUUGUUCAUGGACAAUCAAUGUUCUUUACUCUAUUUCUUUCGUUAAAUAUUUUGCGAAUCAUCAAGUUAUGUCAGUAUUCUUAUUUUUAAUAUUCAUUGUAAAAUUGCGGAAACAAAGAUUAUGGUGGAUUUAUGUAGAGAGCAGCAUAAAGCAGAGAAAGUUCCUGUGUCCAGCGGAGCAAGCUGGGUUCAAAAGCCCUUUGAUCAAUGAUUUCUGUAGUUUGUUGCAAAGUUGGUAGCUUUUUUUUCUUUUUUUCUCCAUUAAAGAUGGAAGCUUAAUGUUGUGAUUGUUUCUCACAUUGUUAAAACUUAUAAGUAUUGUAGUGAUAAAUUAUGUGGAUUUUUGUGUGAUUUUGAUUUUUGUUUCGUUUGAAUUCAGUUUUUUCAGGAAGUUCAGGUGUGCGGAUUUGGAAGUUAAAGCAUAGUAAGAAAAAUGCCCUCGUUUGUCUAAUGUGAAUUGAAGAAGCACCAACUACAUCUAGCCUGCAACUAACCAACUCCCAGCAACACCUCACACAAAGCUGCACAACCGAGCAAACAAGAUCAAGAAAAGAGACACAACAAUGAAAGAUAUACAAGUCAUAAUGAGGGAUCGAAGAAGGAUCUUGCAAGGGAAAAUGGAGAAAAUCAGCUAGAAUUAAUAAUUAGUGAUGAGAUGAGGGAGUUAGUGGAUCCAUGACAUUUAGUUUUUAAAAGUAGUUCAAGUGUGCUGUAUAGCUCAUGACUCAGUUAAUUGAUUCUUAAGUGCUUACAAAACUCUGGACUUUGCCCUUGUCCUGUUAAUAUGAUUUUGGACAAGCUUAUCGAUGAGUUCUAAUCCUUAAGGUUUUUUCCUCUUCCAGCCCCUCAGUUGCUGCUUGUGUACUGUUUGCAGCUUCCUUUGUUUCUUCUUGAUCUUUUGCUAUAAACAUCCCAGUCAUUAUCCAGUAUUUGAAAUGAAAACUGAUAACAGGACGCUAAUAGUACAAAAGCUGUUACAGCUAUUUGUUACCUGGUAUUAUAAAACGUUAAUGGUAACAAAAUUUUAGUGAAAUUUUGCUUAGAAAAUCACCAGUUAAGGUUCAUUUUACUUGGAUAGCUUGAAUUGUAAAUUAAGAUAUUCUACUCAAUUAAAAAUACUCAAAAGAGGAUUUCAUAGGCAAUAUACUACAAACAUGAGUAAAGAUGAUGAUGAUACUAAUAAUCUGUUCUCAAAUAUGUACAUAUAUAGUAUAUAUUUGAUUUAAAGCUAGUUAGGGGUAAGAUACUAAGAUUGUGAUGUUUGGGCUUUAAAUUGGAUUAAAUUUAUUUUGGAUUGCGUUGAUUGUUUGGAUGUUCUCUAACAAUUUAACUUUAGGUUUUUGGGACUUUCAUUCGCUCCUAUUUAUUUAACUUUAGGUUUUUGGGAUUUUCACAUUAGGUUUUUUUGGUUUUUAGUGAUCUCUAACAAUUUCUUUACUUGCUUAUUAUGUUUCUUCUUAUUUUAUGCUUAUUUAUCUUAUUCUGUUAAUUAGGGUUCCAACAGGAAAAUCCUAUUUAUGAAUGGCUUAAAUUUAGAGGGAUUUGAAUCAAGAAAAUCAAAUUACUUUGACAAUGUGUUCCAGUUUUUCCCGGAUAAAGUUCUUGAAACUACUGCGUAUUAGUUAAUUCUUGGAUGAUUGUCUGCAAAUUUAAGGCUAAUUUCAAAAUAUAAGUAGUGUCUAUUAUCUGUUUUUGGAUAUUAUAACUUUAUAUCUUACCAAAUAAGAUGAUAUUUAGAAUUAGGUUAUUUCACAUUUUUAUUGAUCAAAAUCGUAUUUGAUUGAG